rnacentral:rRNA from 1 species
UUCUUCAAGGACCACCUUGGAAGGACAGUUCUUGUCCACUCACUAAAGUUAAGCAACGUCGAGCCUAGUGAGUACUUAGAUGGGUGACUGCUUGGGAAACCUAGGUGCUGUAAGCG